rnacentral:rRNA from 1 species
UUUACUAAACCGUACUGAAAACCGACACAGGUGGUCAGGUAGAGAAUACUCAGGCGCUUGAGAGAACUCGGGUGAAGGAACUAGGCAAAAUAGCACCGUAACUUCGGGAGAAGGUGCGCUUACAGUAAUUGUAGUCCCUUGCGGAUGAAGGUGAAGUAAGUCGAAGAUACCAGCUGGCUGCAACUGUUUAUUAAAAACACAGCACUCUGCAAACACGAAAGUGGACGUAUAGGGUGUGAUGCCUGCCCGGUGCUGGAAGGUUAAUUGAUGGUGUUAUCGAAAGAGAAGCUCCUGAUCGAAGCCCCAGUAAACGGCGGCCGUAACUAUAACGGUCCUAAGGUAGCGAAAUUCCUUGUCGGGUAAGUUCCGACCUGCACGAAUGGCAUAAUGAUGGCCAGGCUGUCUCCACCCGAGACUCAGUGAAAUUGAAAUCGCCGUGAAGAUGCGGUGUACCCGCGGCUAGACGGAAAGACCCCGUGAACCUUUACUAUAGCUUGACACUGAACAUUGAAUUUUGAUGUGUAGGAUAGGUGGGAGCCUUUGAAGCAGUGACGCCAGUCAUUGUGGAGGCGACCUUGAAAUACCACCCUUUAACGUUUGAUGUUCUAACGAAGUGCCUGAAACGGGUACUCGGACAGUGUCUGGUGGGUAGUUUGACUGGGGCGGUCUCCUCCCAAAGCGUAACGGAGGAGCACGAAGGUUUGCUAAUGACGGUCGGACAUCGUCAGGUUAGUGCAAUGGUAUAAGCAAGCUUAACUGCGAGACAGACAAGUCGAGCAGGUGCGAAAGCAGGUCAUAGUGAUCCGGUGGUUCUGAAUGGAAGGGCCAUCGCUCAACGGAUAAAAGGUACUCCGGGGAUAACAGGCUGAUACCGCCCAAGAGUUCAUAUCGACGGCGGUGUUUGGCACCUCGAUGUCGGCUCAUCACAUCCUGGGGCUGAAGUAGGUCCCAAGGGUAUGGCUGUUCGCCAUUUAAAGUGGUACGCGAGCUGGGUUUAGAACGUCGUGAGACAGUUCGGUCCCUAUCUGCCGUGGGCGUUGGAUGAUUGAUUGGGGCUGCUCCUAGUACGAGAGGACCGGAGUGGACGCAUCACUGGUGUUCCAGUUGUCUCGCCAGAGGCAUUGCUGGGUAGCUAAAUGCGGAAGAGAUAAGUGCUGAAAGCAUCUAAGCACGAAACUUGCCAAGAGAUGAGUCAUCCCUGACUUUAAGUCAGUAAGGGUUGUUGUAGACUACGACGUAGAUAGGUUGGGUGUGUAAGUGUAGUGAUACAUUGAGCUAACCAAUACUAAUUGCCCGAGAGGCUUAACCAUA